GUCCACGCCGUAAACGAUGAGUGCUAGGUGCUGCGGGUAUUGACCCCUGCGGUGCCGUAGCUAACGCGUUAAGCACUCCGCCUGGGGAGUACGGCCGCAAGGCUAAAACUCAAAGGAAUUGACGGGGGCCCGCACAAGCGGUGGAGCAUGUGGUUCAAUUCGACGCAACGCGCAGAACCUUACCUGGGUUAAAUCCACUCAAACCUGGCAGAGAUGCCGGGGGUGCCUUUCGGGGAAUGAGUGAGAAGGUGCUGCAUGGCUGUCGU
rnacentral:rRNA from 1 species